AACGGUCUAUACCUGCGGUACCUGCGGAAGGAUCAUUAAGAAUGUGUUUUUUUGGGGGCGCAAGUUCCUAAAACAAACUUAUCCACAGUGUGGGAAAAGUCUUAAAGCGCUUAUGCCUGGUUAGUCAUUGAGCUAGCCCCUAAGUUUACCUUGGAUGUAUAUCCUUGGUAGUGAUUUUUUGAUGAAAUUUUUUUUUAUUGAAAAAUUACCUUGGGUUAAAAGGGGGUAAGAUAAAUUAUU
rnacentral:misc_RNA from 1 species